CUUUUGCGUUAAGGAUUGUAAUGUAAAUCCUUUUUUUACUUGCUUUUUAGCAAGGUAAAAAAGAUUGUAAUGGAAAGCCUGACCUUGC
rfam:Flavobacterium micromati strain DSM 17659 genome assembly, contig: Ga0131131_104